GACGUAGGGUGCAAGCGUUGUCCGGAUUUACUGGGCGUAAAGCGCGCGUAGGCGGCUCGUUAAGUGUGAAGUGAAAUCCCUGGGCUCAACUCAGGAACUGCUUUACAUACUGGCGAGCUUGAGGGAUGCAGAGGGACACGGAAUUCCGGGUGGAGUGGUGAAAUGCGUAGAGAUCCGGAGGAACACCAAAGGCGAAGGCAGUGUCCUGGGGAGUACCUGACGCUCAGGUGCGAAAGCCAGGGGAGCGAACGGG
rnacentral:rRNA from 1 species